AACCCGAGCCUGAUCCACGCGCAGAGCAUCCUGGCCAUCUGGGCGUGCCAGGUGGUGCUCAUGGGCGCCGUCGAGGGGUACCGCAUCGCCGGUGGCCCGCUCGGGGAGGUGGUCGACCCGCUGUACCCCGGCGGCAGCUUCGACCCGCUCGGGCUCGCCGACGACCCGGAGGCGUUCGCGGAGCUCAAGGUCAAGGAGAUCAAGAACGGCCGCCUCGCCAUGUUCUCCAUGUUCGGCUUCUUCGUGCAGGCCAUCGUCACCGGCAAGGGUCCCGUUGAGAACCUCGCCGACCACCUCGCUGACCCUGUCAACAACAACGCCUGGGCCUACGCUACCAACUUCGUCCCCGGCAAGUGAGCGAGGGCAUAUACAUACUUGUAUGCGUGUACCGUAGACAUACGUAUUCGUAUAUGUACUGCAGGAGAUGUACCAGUAUUUGUGAAGAAGGGAGCAUGGGCUCAGAGAUUGUACCAGUAGUGUACGUAUUUGCAUGCAUGCUUUGGUCCUUGUGGACAUUAUCAAUGAAAUAUGCUGUAAAUUAUACAUACGUCUUUAAUAAUGCAUACUGUACAUGAUUUGCUCUGGCAAUUAAGUCGGUGUUGUGAUGAAGUGCAACAGAGUUCAGUGAGCACGUCCUACAUCAAACACCAGGCAGCUGGACAGCAAU
rnacentral:lncRNA from 1 species